rnacentral:rRNA from 1 species
UGGGGAAUUUUGGACAAUGGGCGCAAGCCUGAUCCAGCCAUGCCGCGUGUCUGAAGAAGGCCUUCGGGUUGUAAAGGACUUUUGUCAGGGAAGAAAAGGAUAGGGUUAAUACCCCUGUCUGAUGACGGUACCUGAAGAAUAAGCACCGGCUAACUACGUGCCAGCAGCCGCGGUAAUACGUAGGGUGCGAGCGUUAAUCGGAAUUACUGGGCGUAAAGCGGGCGCAGACGGUUACUUAAGCAGGACGUGAAAUCCCCGGGCUCAACCUGGGAACUGCGUUCUGAACUGGGUGACUAGAGUGUGUCAGAGGGAGGUAGAAUUCCACGUGUAGCAGUGAAAUGCGUAGAGAUGUGGAGGAAUACCGAUGGCGAAGGCAGCCUCCUGGGAUAACACUGACGUUCAUGCCCGAAAGCGUGGGUAGCAAACAGGAUUAGAUACCCUGGUAGUCCACGCCCUAAACGAUGUCGAUUAGCUGUUGGGCAGCUUGACUGCUUAGUAGCGAAGCUAACGCGUGAAAUCGACCGCCUGGGGAGUACGGUCGCAAGAUUA